AAAACGUGCGCGUGAGGUGGCCAGAGCGCAUGCGCAAGAGUGUGGGGGAAACGGGAGGGGCAGCCUCCAUCUUCCGGGGGGGAGGGGCAGCGAGGCGCGGCCUGGCGCGCGAGUGCGCGCGCCGGCGGGCACGUGGGGCCUUUUCGUCCCUGGCGUCCGGGCGCCCCGCGCCACCCCCAACCCUUUCCUAGGCCCGGCCGCGGCGGUGGCGGCGGCUGAGGAGAAAGUGCCAAAGCGGUCUCCUGCCGCCGGCGAAGCACCGGUUGUGGUGUUUUGGUGAAGCGUUAGAAACACGGGCCUAAAAAGAAUGGCGCCAUUUAUAUAAUGCUUUGUUUGCACUUUGCCGGUCUCUUGGCUCAGCCCCGAGGAGCCCCCCUCCCCCAUCCCUUGCCCUUGUGUCGUGCUUGGUGCGGCAAUGUCGCGCAUUUGGAACAAUGACGUGCUGCUGUACCCGCCUAACUCAAGGGAAGACACUUUAGGUCCUAGAGAGAUGAAGUGAUUGGUUCAAGGUCACACAGUAUCUGGGAUGGAAUCCAGACCUCCUGAUUUCCAUACUGACCCAUACCACCCACUUUAUGGACAAAGCCAUCAAGAUAUGGAAUGAAAGAACGGAUUAAAUAAAAUUAAGUUGCCCUACCCCAGGAACCUCACACAUGACUCUUCUCAUUCAAGCAACCACAGAUAAUCUAGCUUAGUGAGUGGAGAAUGGUGGCUUGGAAUCAGAUUUGAUCAUUUUCACAGCUGGAUUGCCAAGCCUGUAGAAUGUAAGCCUCAUGCUGCUGGGAGCCAUCUUGCUGCCCCGAGAAUGCUGUCUGAGAACAAAGCCAACAUGGGUGAAAUCUGAGUUGUGAGAUGGAGAAAGCUGGAGAUGAGAUGAAGUUUUUUUGAGUAACCUGUAUUUAACCAUGCCUUAAGCUAGUGUAACCCUGGACAUCUCCUUUACAUGAGCCUAGAUCUUUGUCUCCUCCUUCACGUUUAUUCCACUUCAUGAAGAUUUGGAUUUUUGUCAUUUGUAGCCAGAAAUGUUUUAACUAAUUCAUUCCAUAAAUUGUAUAUAGUUCUCAUUAGAGUAUAUUUCAAUUUUCUUUUUUACUAGAUCCUUUGGUGUUAAAAUGCUAAAUUUGAAUUAAGUUUGUUAUAAAAAACCAGAUUAAGACCUAAUUUGUUUAGAGCA